rnacentral:rRNA from 1 species
UACGAAGGGGGCUAGCGUUGUUCGGAAUUACUGGGCGUAAAGCGCACGUAGGCGGAUACUUAAGUCAGGGGUGAAAUCCCGGGGCUCAACCUUGGAACUGCCUUUGAUACUGGAGACCUUGAGUCCGGGAGAGGUGAGUGGAAUUGCGAGUGUAGAGGUGAAAUGUCGUAGAUAUUCGCAAGAACACCAGUGGCGAAGGCGGCUCACUGGCCCGGAACUGACGCUGAGACGCGAAAGCGUGGGGAGCAAACAGG